rnacentral:tRNA from 1 species
CAUGCCUUAGCUCAGUCGGUAGAGUGUCAGAAUAAAAGCCUGGAAGCUGCGGGUUCAAAUCCCGCCAGCAGUG